rnacentral:tRNA from 1 species
GCGGCUGUGGCGGAAUUGGUAGACGCGCAGCGUUGAGGUCGCUGUCCAGUAACAUGGGUGGAAGUUCGAGUCUUCUCAGCCGCACCA